rnacentral:rRNA from 1 species
GUCUGUGAUGCCUUAGAUGUCCGGGGCCGCACGUGCGCUACAAUGACGGUUUCAGCGAGUUUGGGAUCCUGGCCUGAGCAGGUUGGGUAAACUGAACCAUAACCGUCGUGACUGGGAUCGGGGCUUGCAACUGUUCCCCGUGAACGAGGAAUUCCUGGUAAGUGCAAGUCAUAAGCUUGCGCUGAUUACGUCCCUGCCCUUUGUACACACCGCCCGUCGCUACUACCGAUUGAAUGGUUUAGCAAGGUCCUCGGAUUGGUACCAUUGCAGUGGCUUUAGCCGCUCGACCGGUGCUGAGAAGACGACCAAACUUGAUCAUUUAGAGGAAGUAAAAGUCGUAACAAGGUUUCCGUAGGUGAACCUGCGGAAGGAUCAUUA